UACGUAGGGGGCAAGCGUUGUCCGGAUUUAUUGGGCGUAAAGAGCGUGUAGGCGGUUUGGUAGGUCCGCUGUGAAAACUCGAGGCUCAACCUCGAGACGCCGGUGGAAACCAUCAGACUAGAGUCCGGAAGAGGAGAGUGGAAUUCCUGGUGUAGCGGUGAAAUGCGCAGAUAUCAGGAAGAACACCCGUGGCGAAGGCGGCUCUCUGGGACGGUACUGACGCUGAGACGCGAAAGCGUGGGGAGCAAACAGG
rnacentral:rRNA from 1 species